AAAUCCGUCGAAUUUUUAAAUCGUGAGGGUUCGAGUCCUCUAUCCCCA
rnacentral:tRNA from 1 species